CCGGGGCGGCGCUGCCUACCAUGCAAGUCGCACGAGAAAGGGUAGCAAUACCUGAGUACAGUGGCGCACGGGUGAGCCUUACGUGAAUCAUCUACCUUCGAGUGGGGAAUAACUGGGAGAAAUCUCAGCUAAUACCGCAUAACACCUACGGGUCAAAGCAGCAAUGCGCUUGAAGAGGAGUUCGCGGCAGAUUAGUUAGUUGGCGGGGUAAUGGCCCACCAAGACGAUGAUCUGUAUCCGGCCUGAGAGGGCGCACGGACACACUGGAACUGAAACACGGUCCAGACUCCUACGGGAGGCAGCAGUGGGGAAUUUUGCGCAAUGGGGGAAACCCUGACGCAGCAACGCCGCGUGGAGGAUGAAAUCCCUUGGGAUGUAAACUCCUUUCGAUCGGGACGAUUAUGACGGUACCGAUAGAAGAAGCCCCGGCUAACUUCGUGCCAGCAGCCGCGGUAAUACGAGGGGGGCAAGCGUUGUUCG
rnacentral:rRNA from 1 species